rnacentral:rRNA from 1 species
GACGAACCGUGCGAACGUUGUUCGGAAUCACUGGGCUUAAAGGGCGCGUAGGCGGGCAAGCAAGUCCGGGGUGAAAGCCCCCAGCUCAACUGGGGAAGUGCCUUGGAAACUGCUUGUCUAGGAGGGAGGUAGGGGCAUGUGGAACUUCGGGUGGAGCGGUGAAAUGCGUUGAUAUCCGAAGGAACGCCGGUGGCGAAAGCGACGUGCUGGAUCUCUUCUGACGCUGAGGCGCGAAAGCUAGGGUAGCGAACGGG